GAACGAACGCGGGCGGCGUGCCUAACACAUGCAAGUCGUACGAGAAAGCCUGGGCAACUGGGUGAGUAAAGUGGCGCACGGGUGAGUAACACGUGGGUAACCUACCCUCGAGUCGGGGAUAACUCCGCGAAAGCGGGGCUAAUACCGGAUAACGUUUCGAUGUCUUCGGAUGUUGAUACCAAAGGUGGCCUCUGCAUGCAAGCUAUCACUUGAGGAUGGGCCCGCGUACCAUUAGCUAGUUGGUAGGGUAACGGCCUACCAAGGCAACGAUGGUUAGCUGGUCUGAGAGGAUGGCCAGCCACACUGGAACUGAGACACGGUCCAGACUCCUACGGGAGGCAGCAGUGGGGAAUCUUGCGCAAUGGGGGAAACCCUGACGCAGCAACGCCGCGUGGGUGAUGAAGGCCUUCGGGUCGUAAAGUCCUGUCAGGUGGGAAGAAACAUGUUGAUGCCAAUACCAUCAACACUUGACGGUACCACCGGAGGAAGCACCGGCUAACUCCGUGCCAGCAGCCGCGGUAAUACGGAGGGUGCAAGCGUUGUUCGGAAUUAUUGGGCGUAAAGCGCGUGUAGGCGGUCAUGAAAGUCAGAUGUGAAAUCCUUCCGCUUAACGGGAGAAGUGCAUUUGAAACUUCAUGACUGGAGUACGGGAGAGGAGAGUGGAAUUCCCGGUGUAGAGGUGAAAUUCGUAGAUAUCGGGAGGAACACCAGUGGCGAAGGCGGCUCUCUGGCCUGAUACUGACGCUGAGACGCGAAAGCGUGGGGAGCAAACAGGAUUAGAUACCCUGGUAGUCCACGCCGUAAACGAUGGGCACUAGGUGUAGGAGGUAUUGACCCCUUCUGUGCCGAAGCUAACGCAUUAAGUGCCCCGCCUGGGGAGUACG
rnacentral:rRNA from 1 species